rnacentral:rRNA from 1 species
GACGAACGCUGGCGGCGUGCUUAACACAUGCAAGUCGAACGAAGAGCGAUGGAAGCUUGCUUCUAUCAAUCUUAGUGGCGAACGGGUGAGUAACGCGUAAUCAACCUGCCCUUCAGAGGGGGACAACAGUUGGAAACGACUGCUAAUACCGCAUACGAUCUAAUCUCGGCAUCGAGGAUAGAUGAAAGGUGGCCUCUACAUGUAAGCUAUCACUGAAGGAGGGGAUUGCGUCUGAUUAGCUAGUUGGAGGGGUAACGGCCCACCAAGGCGAUGAUCAGUAGCCGGUCUGAGAGGAUGAACGGCCACAUUGGGACUGAGACACGGCCCAGACUCCUACGGGAGGCAGCAGUGGGGAAUUUUCCGCAAUGGACGAAAGUCUGACGGAGCAACGCCGCGUGAGUGAUGACGGCCGUCGGGUUGUAAAGCUCUGUUAAUCGGGACGAAAGGCCUUCUUGCGAAUAGUGAGAAGGAUUGACGGUACCGGAAUAGAAAGCCACGGCUAACUACGUG